AUCGAGUUUGAGCGAUGAGACUAGAUCUUGGCUUCGAUUCAACGUCAAUGACUGGUUUUCAUGGUGCUUGAACUG